CUUCAGACAUCUAGCCCUAAAAUGAAGUUCAGUUCCUUAAAAAUUCUCCUUUCUCUUCCUCCCAGUGAGCCGGCGAAGAGAAGAGAUUCAUCAGACCCAAAUUGCUCAGUGAAGGAACUUACCUAUUGGAGUGAAAUUGCGCGGCCCAUCUCCCUUGCCCCCCGCAAAAAACACAGUGAAGGAGGCUUCAAACCCAACGAAGGAUUCAGCUCAUCUCCCUUGCAUCUCCCUUCAGGUUACUCUGAUUUGUACACUCCAGCCCCUUCUUUCCAUCCCUUCAGUCGCAAUUCUUAAAUGAGUACCCUCCCUUCAAGACGAUCGAAAAAUUCGAAGUAGCAGCAAGCUCCCCUCAAAAUUCAGGGCUACAACAUCCGGGUGAAGAAAGUGUCAUGGAAUAAGGCAAAAAAGAUUCAAAUGAGGCAAAGAAUAACAACAAGCACGUGCAUAAAGACCCAUCUAGUUUAAAUGAAGUUAAGAUUCUUGAGAUUAGAAUGACUUUUUCAUCUGAAGAGGAGUCGAGGAUGGAGGCAUUGAGAAUUUGUCAUUCAACGAGAGAAAAUGUAGAAAUUAUAUUUUAGAAGCUAGAAGGUCGAGAUUAAGGGGUGGAGAUGUUGAAGCCUUGAGUAAUUAUUUUUUCCGCAUGCAAAGUCGAAACUUAAACUUUUUUUAUGUUCUUGAUUUAGAUGGAGAAUCUCGAAUAAGAAAUGUUUUUUGGGCAAAUGCAAGAUGUAGGGCUGUAUAUGAUUACUUUUCUAAUGUCAUAACUUUUGAUACAACCUAUUUGACUAAUAGUUAUGAUAUGUCAUUUUCUCUAUUUAUUGGAGUGAAUCAUCAUGGUCAAACUAUUUUGCUUGGAUGUGGAUUAGUAUCAAGCAAAGAUUCAGAAAUAUUCAUAUGGUUAUUCAAAGACUAUAAUCAUAGACCAUAAUCAUAGACCAAUGUCGUGCUAUGACAAUUGCAAUUGCAGAGGUAUUUUUAAAUUCUCAUCAUCAUUUAUGUCUGUGACAUAUCAUGAAAAAAGUUCUAGCAAAAUUAGGUGGUCAUGCUCAGUAUAAAAUGAUAAAGAAACAAUUGAAGAACAUUGUUUAUAACUCACUUACAAUUGAUAAAUGUGAAGAGACUUUGGAUGAACAUGAUUGAUGGAUUUAAUUUGGAGAACAAUGAUUGGUUGAAAUUUUUGCAUGAAGAAUAGAAUAGAAGGAUACAUCUAUACGUUAGGGGUGAGCAGUCAAACUACCAAAUCGGCCAACCUGCUCAUACCGACCCAAACCAAAUUGAAAAAAAACUCCGUCGGAUAUAGGGCCGGAUGUAGGGUCCUAAUAUUACAUUAUCUGAUCUAGUAGGACCAGAUAAUUUUUUACCCCAAUAACUGAACCAACUCGAUCUGCAAUCACCCCUACUUGUAGCAGCUACUGUCGAUCAGUUGCUAUACGUUGUAGCAACUACUACCGAUUAGCUUCUACAACAUAUAAUGAGUAAUGUCUACUAUCAUUUUAAAAUAUUUUAUUUUUUUGUUAUAUUUAUAUUUAUAUUUUAUAUUUCAUUGGAUAUAGAGUUGGAUAUCCAAAUAAUUGAUAAUCCGUUGGAUAUUUGAUACAUAAGAACCGCCGGAUAUAGGAUCCUGAUAUUGCAUUAUUUGAUUUAGUAGGACCGGAUAGUUUUUUACCCAAUAACCAAACCAACCCGAACCGCGAUCAUCCCUAGUAUACGUCAAAGAUAAUUUUUGGGCAAGCAUGUCCACAUCUCAAAGAAAUGAAAGUAUGAAUAUUUUUUUUUUUAUGACUACAUCCAUUCUAAGGCAUCCUUGAAGCAAUUUGUUGAGUAGUAUGAUAAUGCUUUGAAGAAAAAGAUUGAGAAGGAAAAAUUUUUGGAUUUUGGUUCUUUUUAAUUCUAUCAUACCAUUAAUAACUGGUUAUCUUAUUGAAAGAUAAUUUCAAAGUGUUUAUACUAACAACUUAUAUAAGUUGUUCCAAGAUGAAGUAAGAGGGUUGAUGUUUUUGCAAUAUAUCAUUGGUGAAGCAAGAAGGGACAACUUUGAUAUUUGAAGUCUUAGAAACUAUGGUGGGAAAAAAUGGAGAACCCCUAUGAGAAGUUUUCUUUAGUGUACAUUACACUGAAUUUGAUUGCCAAGUGAAAUAUCUAUGCCGUUUAUUUGAGUUUCAGGGAAUUCUAUGUAGGCAUGUGAUAUCUAUGUUGAUAAAAAGGUUCCUAUGAAUUAUAUUAUGGACCGAUAGAGCAAAGAUAUUAAGCAUAGAUAUCAAAGUAUCACUAACAUCUAUGAUGAAUAUGUUUAUCAUGGAGAAAGACAUUGAAAUAAGCUUCUUACUCCAUUGAUACAAGAGGUUCAACAAUUUGGGAUAAGAAAUAAAGACAGUUGUUCUCUUUUGACAGAAAUCUUGAAAGCAACAUGUGAAAAACUAUUUGCUAUUCAUAUUGAUCAUUCAAGGGCUGAAAAAGAUUGCAGUUCGUCGCCAUUAACUCAAGAUGGUAAAAAACUGAAUGAAGUAUCUAGAUUUAAUAUAAAAGUGAUACACUCUCCAGUAAAAAUCCAAUCUUGAGGUCAUCCACCCAUAAAGAAGGAACAAUAUAAGAUAGAAUAAAUUAUGAGGAAAUCAGUUGUAAGGGCUCAAAAGAAAGUUUAAUUUAUUAUGGUUUGGCAAUAGAUAAUUAUUGUUCAGUACCCAUGACAUAACUUUUACUUUAUAUACUAUUUAUUAUUUAUAGGUUUUAUUAUAAGUAUGUAAAGGUGAUUUGUAGCUAAAGAUCUCUGCAUUGCAAAGACUUUGUUGUGCAUAGGUGUGUGAUCAACUUUCAAAUAAUAUUUGUCUUUUGUUAUAUGUAAGACAACAUUAGCUAUUUGAAAUUUUUUGUACUUAUGGUAAUAUGAGUGCCUGAAGUGUAUCUACUAAUGUAGUUUGUGUAUUGUAUGUUUGGUUGAUUCAAUCAUGUGGAGGCAGUGGUUGUGGCUUGAAUUUUUAAUUUUCUAGUUGAAAUCUGUCUUGCAUUAGAGUUCUGAAUGGGGUGUAUAAAAUAUAUUAGUAUAAAAUGCUAAUUUGAUACUU